UGCACACAGGUGCCUCUGUCUCCAGCUGGAGCAGCCGGGUCCGUCUUCUGUGACAAUCAUUUUCCUGCUUUUCUUCAAAGUCUCCUCUAGGUAUGUAGGUAGAUAAUAACAUGUUUAGGGCCACCUGUAUUUAAAUUUUCACACCCAGAGACUUAUCACAAGGGCUGUUGAAGCCAGCUUCCUUUUAACAUGCUUUGGGAUCUUGUGCAUACUGUAGCACAUUUUUAACAUAGGGCAGUAUUCAAUCUGUAGGAAUAGUCUACAAUUUCUCUCUCCAUCUUCCCCUCUUGGGACACUUGAACCAUGUCCAGCUGGGUGUGAUACAGGUCCAUGGCUCUAGACAUUUUUGUAUGAUUUCACCUCCUGGUGGUGGGGGCAAGGUUGGGACAUGCUUACCAUGGAAGAAUCAGAAUGAAGGUGCUUGCUUUGUCAAAAACCAGGGUGUAAAGUUACAAGGUUAUGAAAGAAGGCUUCUUAACACCUUGCUUGAUAAUGACUAUCCUAAAGACUGCCAGAACCACACGCUUCCACAGUGGACUGAGCAGCUUCAUGCAAAAAGAAAAAAGAAAUCUUCGAUUUCUGCUUAUCAACUGUUUGUUCAACCUGGAGCUGAUGACACACGGAUAUUGGUCAUUGUGACCAAGGAUUAUUGCUUUAAAAUACCUAAGGUGAGGUAUAGCAGAAUGGUCUAUGUGACCAGGCCCUGACAACGGCAUUCUAAAGAGCACCAAUUUGCACUGCCAAGAUGGGGACACCGAGGCUCAAGAAGGGACAAUGAGUUGCCGGUAGGCACAGGAGCUGGAACCGGAACCUGGAUCCGCCUGGCCUUGACUUGGUGCUUUGAUCGCUUUGACCUGGGAGAUUUACCGGUUCUCGCCCACAUCCGUGGCUCUCUGCACCUGCCCUCCCAUCCUUAGGACGACAGGUGUGACCUCGAGACUGAGUGCUGACAGCGAACGGACUGUGAGCCGGAGGAAAGGCAUGGUUUCCACAACCCCUGCUUCCAUGCUGCCUCAGACCCGUUCAUUCCUUUCACCAUGGUUAAGACCAGCUGUGGUCUUUGGGUCAUACCCUAAGGAAUGGCGGGCCAACACAACAGAAGGACACUGGGUCCUGAGCGAGUACACGGGACAGAGUGCAAAGCACUACCAAGUGUGGGAGUAGAAGCUACUCACAGAUGGGUCUGGGAACCAGCGAGAGCUUGGCUUCACCCUGAGGGGCCUGAGCACUGCAGCUAAUAAGAGAGCCCCCAAGAAACCAGAGCUAAUCAGACCCUAGCUGGCCUCAGUCGAUGAAGAGGAGAGGGGAGCAGAGGCGAGGGAAGAGGAGGGCAGGGGAGGAACCCUGGGACUAUGACUGGGGGGUUUGUCUCCUUGAAUCUUGUGUGUAAACAUGCCGCCCUGCAGAAAGCUCCUUAAGUAAGAAGGCAGUCAACAACUAAAACAAUCUUCAGGAAGCCCCUGAAACUGACCAGACUCACUAGGCUCCUCCCUGUCAGAGCAGGCAAUACAAGCCAAGAGUACCUCUCAGACGGAAGGAGGCUGAGCUGUACUGCAGACUCUCAAAAGCUUCAAGGAUUCCUGAGACCAGACCAGCUGCCUGGAAGAGCUUUAGGCCAACUGAGGCACCUGGGACACUCUCCGAGCUGCCUGCAGGCUGUGCAGUGCGCUCCAGGUUCCCAGCUUUGUGAGCUGUCACUCAUACUGGGGUGGGCUUGGUGAGGCAGCUGUCUUUGAGUCGUUUCUGCUGCUGUAAGUGACCCCUCACCCAUAUUCCUGUAAGCAACCUCAAUAGAACUCAUUGGUUCUCCAAAUUGGGACUUCGGUGGUGUCCAUACUUUCGUCUGUCUUGGGAUCCCUAUCUGGGGUGAGCAGACGUGUGUUGUGUCUCCCCAGGAAAAGGUGUGUCACACAAGAGUGAGGUACUGACUGGGAGGGUGGACACGGCUCGAUGCUGGUGUUCAGUUAGUGGAAGGAAGCGAUUAGCUAGGGCCAAUGGGGUGGGAUGAGCAAAGCUUAGGGACCAGAGACAGGGAUGCUCCCUGGCUCUGACCCAAAGCCCGAAGCAGAGGCAGCCCUUGACCCUUGGCCUGGAGCCAUAAGCCAAGACAAGCCUCCUGUUUAAUAAGGUUUGCAGCACACAGUGCUGCAGGAUUAGCCACAGCACACACUACCGAAGUUAAUUAAAAAGGGUGAUGCUUCAGAGUAAAGUUCAAGUGCAGGCAAGGUUUCCUGAAGCAACUAUUUCCUCUUGAAAAGAUAAAAAUACAUACAUAUAUAACAUUGUCUUAAGUGCAAUAUAUGUUCUAAUAUGGCAAACACAUUUUUCAAUUAUGUGUAUAUAUAUAUAUAUUCCUAUUGGAAACAAAGCCUCAGGCAAGUGACCAGAAGGCUGCUCUGACCCCAACUGCCACCUAACACUAUGAGCAGGAGAACUCAUCCAUGUCACCAGGCCAAGCCCUACAGCUCUCAGCCCUUUAUUUCUCUAUUAAUAAAAACUGGCUGCAGGGCUAGGGAUGUGACUCCAUGGUGGAGCCUUUGCCUAGCACGCUCGAGGCCCCAACAUCCAUUUCUAUGACUGAAAGGGGAGAAAAUGAGCCACCGAGGACUUUGUCUGAUCAGGAACUGGCUUAGGCUCUAAGAACGCGUUUGAAUUAGAUAAAGAUCUUACUGUGUGGGACGUCACAGCCAGGAAGAGGAGAGCGAGCAAGCUGAGUGUGUUAGGACACAAGGACGCUGUGUCCUGUCCCUCAGGACACAGUGCUGCUUCCUAGAGUAGCAGAGACACCAGAGUUUAGAUUUAAAACGACACAGUGGGUAUCAAGACACAGAAAUUCAUUCUGUGGCGGGGAAGGACUGUCUGGUUCAGAAGCGCUAGGAGAGGGGAUUUAAAUGCAUUUCCCCACCAAGAGACUCUAAAUGUUUUAGGGGAGGGUGUCCCCACCUUGAGUUGAACACUAUACAACAUAUACAUGCAUCAUGUGACAUCUCGUAGUUUUCAUUUCUUAGUGCUUUAACUUUAGAAAAAUAAAAACAGCAAAAAAAAAAAAAAUUUAAGAGAUUCCGUCAUGUGUCAUUUUACAAGCAGUCCGUCUGAGACAGACCACAUACAUGAUGGUGUCCCACAAGGAGGCAUCACUCAGUGCCACGGCAGCCAUGUCUCUUCUG